rnacentral:rRNA from 1 species
UACGAAGGGGGCUAGCGUUGCUCGGAAUCACUGGGCGUAAAGCGCACGUAGGCGGAUUGCUAAGUCAGGGGUGAAAUCCUGGAGCUCAACUCCAGAACUGCCUUUGAUACUGGCGACCUUGAGUCCGGGAGAGGUGAGUGGAACUGCGAGUGUAGAGGUGAAAAUUCGUAGAUAUUCGCAAGAACACCGGUGGCGAAAGCGACUCUCUGGACGGCAACUGACGCUGAGGCACGAAAGCGUGGGGAAGCAAACAGGG